rnacentral:lncRNA from 1 species
GGUGAUGUUAAUUCAUUAUUAAUUUACAGGUGGUAAAGAUAUUACAAGGCGAUGAAGAUGCAACGGAAUGGGGAAAGCAACAAGUAAAAGCCUCAGAAGAUGCAACGGCGUACUUGACGAACAUAGAAUCACACAUAAACCUUGCACUGCUUGAUUUGGAAGAUGAUGCAGCUUCCGAUAGUAGCCCUGAAGCUAGUAGUAUCUCCGUUGAGGACUACUUGAAAGGAAGAUGGAGCCGCACUGCUAGCUUCAGCUUCAACUAAUAAUUAUUAAUAGUUUAAUAACUAGAUUUUAGCUGUUUUGACGAUGCAAGUUGUGUGUAAGUAAUGGAUUUUUCUAAGGUUUUCAAGAAUGCGUCAGUUUAGAAAGAGUGAAGAGCUCUUGUAGAGAGGCCACCAGAGUAUUGACUUUGUGUUCUUUAUGUUUGUGAAGAGUAGAAAAUGUUUUAUUGUUUUUUGAAUGUUUUUUUUGCUUUGUGUAUACAACGUUCUUUCCACUUGUUUUUUUUUCUCUCUUUCCAGUUCGGUUUUAAGGAUACAAAUUGUAAGCAUUUCCAGUUCGGUUUAAGAUUCGAUAUGAAUAGAAAUUGUUUUUUUUUUCUCUCUUUCCAGAGUAUUGACUUUGUGUUCUUUAUGUUUGUGAAGAGUAGAAAAUGUUUUAUUGUUUUUUGCUUUGUGUAUACAACGUUCUUUCCACUUGUUUUUUUUCUCUCUUUCCAGUUCGGUUUUAAGGAUACAAAUUGUAAGCAUUUCCAGUUCGGUUUAAAAUUCGAUAUGAAUAGAAAUUGUAAUUCUGGUUUACUUUUAAACCGUAUCAAGGAAUUAGAGUUUAGUUAAGCCCUCUUACACCAGCAGCCCUAGGAAACCCAAAAAAAAUUAUCACAGAUCUUCUGACUUCUGUAUAGAUCAGAUAAUCAAACAUUAAGAUACUAGAAAUAUUAGAAAUAUUAUCGAACAAAAAAAAAAAAAAAGAUACUAGAAAUUGUUAAGCUAGAUGGGCUUCCAACCUAAAACCAAUUGGUACUAAGUGGAGUGACUCAUCUAUCUUAUAUAUUGCUUAGGAUCCCUUCCAAUAUCCAAUGUGGGACAUUUAUUCCUAAUACGCCUCUUCGAGAUGAUGGCUCUUUGAGCGUCAAUCUCGGAAUGCUCGGGCAAGGAUCGAUGGGCCGACUUUGGGCUGGAUCGAUAAUGGAUCGGAUUGGACUGCGUGGAUCGGGCUCUGAUACCAUUUUAAGCUAGAUGGGCUUCCAACCUAAAAUCAAUUGGUACUAAGUGGAGUGACCCAUCUAUCUUAUAUAUUGCUUAGGAUCCCUUCCAAUAUCCAAUGUGGGACAUAUAUCCCUAAUAGAAAUAUUAUAUUAUCGAACAAAGGAUAUAGUAAUCUAAGAUCUUUGGAUAAGUCAUGAAUUUGUUAAGGUUUCUCGCUGGAACAAAGGUAUAUAGAGGAAGGAUGAACAUCUAAUGCAGAGUAGUUCCAGUUAGAAGCAAAAUAUGACACCAGUGAUCUGUGAAGAUAGAAAGAUUGAGUUCAAAACAAGAAGAUGCAAAAUAUAUAAUAACAACUGAGAAGGAAAAGCUCUAGGAACCUCAUGAGAACAUGUUCUGAGGCAUACCACUAUAUUCCUCACAUAUUCACAUCACGUCUAACUUGAGAGAGUCAUAUGCUCAAUGUUAAUCUCCAGUAGUAGAACAUCAUUACUCCCUAAAGGCAGAUCAAGUCCAAAAGGCACAAUUAGAAAAUGUUUCAACGUGAACAAUUUUUGAUAAACAGGUAGAGUCUAACCUCUAUGUGUCGUACAUUCCUCUUUUCGUUCAAUAUAUGUGUUUAAGCCCAAAAUAUUGAUUUUGCUUCUGCCAAGUUAAGCAUGUUCCUAAGAUUAAUGUCGAGAUUACUAAAAAAUUUAUUAUUUAUUCCUUUUCAAAUAUAUCAUAGUCUCUCCAGAAGAGAUGAUCCAUAUUUGUAAAGAGAGAGCUGGUUGGAAAAAUAGCUAGAUUUAAGGGUAUCUUUGAGAGAUUAGAAACCUGAAGUGCUGGAUGACAUUAAAAACACACAUGGUUUAUCAAUUCUUCAUCGACUCCACACCGUGCACAACGUAUAUCCCCAUGUAUCCUCCGCGCUUGCAACUUCUUCUUGAUUGCUAUACACUCCGUCACCAAUUGCUAUAGAAAAUGUUUUAUCUUUGGUGGGCACCGCAUAUCUUUGGUGCCACAGAACGCCUUCAAUGCAUCAACCGUGGGUCCAAACAUUAAUGGUGGUUUGUCCCUGUCUUGGUAAACCCGUUCUAUCUGAUAUCUUGAUUUAACCGUAUAUUUUCCAUUGUUUAUGAAAUGAUUCAUCCCUAUAUACCAUCUGAGUUCUGCUCAGUGGUACGCUUUCUAUAAUUUUAACAUCAUGUGGGUCCACCAAAGCCCGAAGUGCCUUCGAAUUCCAAGUUCCCGAAAUAGAAAUAAUGAGAGAAUCCACGGUGAAGUCUGGGUACUAGUUGUGUUGAUUUUUACUAGCUGGUCUCGGACGAGUGGUUGAGAACCAUGGAUCGUUCCAUAUAUCUAAAAUUUUAUAAAAUAGAAAAUAAAUAUUAAAAAUUUAAAAUAAAAAUUUUAAAAAUAGUUUCAAAAAGUAUUUUCGAAUUACAAAAAAAAAUUUGAAAAAAAUAAAAAACAAAAUUCAAAAGAAAUUCAAAAAGCAAAUUAUAAAAAAGUUCGAUUUUGAAAACAUAUAAUCUAAAACUAUAAAAUUUUUUUAUAUAUUUAGGGUAUUAGUGUUAUUUUACCUAUUAAAUGAAAUAUUUUGGUCAUUUUCUUCCUUGUGGUCUAUUUUUAUGACCAAAACUUGAAAAUUGUAUAUUUAUGAGAAUUGCCCUAAUUUUUGUUACUUCAAAUUAAAAUUCCUUUUUUUUUUUGCUAAUUUCUAUUAUAUUAAUUUAUAAUCAAUAAUAAAUUAUAAAUCUAAUAAAUUUUUUUAAUUAUUUAUUAAGGGUAGUAACGAUCCGUUCUAACUUUUAACGUGAGAUCUCAAAUGUGAAAAAUCAAUUUGCAAAUAAUAGACUAUGUACCACGAGGAAGCCUUGAAGAAAACCUGCAUGGUAUAUAAACUGCAUUUUCAAAUUCCCUCUGGAUUCUCAUUUGAAUUAUCUAUCUUGAUUGUUCUCAUUUAUUGGUUCAGGUAAUAGAAAGGAUGCCGCCACCUUUGGCUGGCUGGAGAGAUAUAAAGUGGCAGUGGGUGUUGCAGAGGCGUUAGACUAUCUACAUAAUACUCAUGAUCCAGAAGUGAUUCACCGGGAUGUCAAAUCUUCUAAUAUUCUUCUGGCAGAUGAUUUUGAGCCACAGGUACUGAUACAUUUCAAUCUCAAUCUUAGUGUUCACUAACAGAUGCAAUGAAAAAAAAAUUGAUCUUAAUUUUUGUGACUGACAUUGAAAUUUUUUACUGGUUCAGCUCUCAGAUUUCGGAUUUGCCAGCCUGGCUUCAAGUGCUGCACAGCAUGUGUCAUGUGGGGGUAUUGCGGGAACAUUUGGGUAUUUAAUUUGUAUCUUUAGUCCUUCCCUGAUAACCAUCAUCACUCUAUUAAUCAUCCACAUUAAACUUUCCCGUUUCUUUUGACAGUUACCUAGCACCAGAAUACUUCAUGCACGGUAAAGUAACCGACAAGAUUGAUGUCUAUGCGUUUGGUGUUGUAUUGCUCGAGCUCAUAUCGGGUAGAAAACCAAUUUGCGUUGACCAAUCUAAAGGCCAGGAGAGCCUUGUCAUGUGGGUAAGCAUAGUAGUCCAUAACUUUCAUAUUUUUCUAUCCUGCAAAUUUUGCCAUUGGGAGAAGCAAUGUUACUCUUUGAAAUGACUAAACCGCAUCUCUUUCCCAGGCAAAUCCAAUCCUAGAGAGUGGAAAGUUUGCUCAGUUACUAGAUCCAGGUCUAGAAGCUGAUGAUAGCAGUAACGAUCUAAUCGAGAAGCUAUUGUUAGCUGCCACACUAUGCAUUAAACGCGCACCUCAUGACCGUCCACAAAUUGGCCUCGUAAGCUAUAUAUAUCUAUUAUCUUCUCCAUGUCUACUUUCUUUGCUUCUAAUUGCUCUGUGUUGGGGGGUGAUGUUAAUUCAUUAUUAAUUUACAGGUGGUAAAGAUAUUACAAGGCGAUGAAGAUGCAACGGAAUGGGGAAAGCAACAAGUAAAAGCCUCAGAAGAUGCAACGGCGUACUUGACGAACAUAGAAUCACACAUAAACCUUGCACUGCUUGAUUUGGAAGAUGAUGCAGCUUCCGAUAGUAGCCCUGAAGCUAGUAGUAUCUCCGUUGAGGACUACUUGAAAGGGAGAUGGAGCCGCACUGCUAGCUUCAGCUUCAACUAAUAAUUAUUAAUAGUUUAAUAACUAGA